UUAAUCAAUCAACACUAGCAAAUUCACACUUAGAAAACUCUGCUGAUAAUUAUAUGAUACUUCUAUUAUGUUCCUGCUUUGAUUUACUCUAUUUGCUAAUUUUGCAGAAAUAAUGAUUCAUUAUAUUUUUGAUAGCCUAUAAUUCCUAUUGCAAAUAUUUCAAUUUGCAGUAUCUAUAUACUUUUGGUUUUAAGGCAGAAUUUUAAAAUGAUGUUCAAACUUGAGUUUGGAGAAAUAAUUAUAUAAAUACAAAAAGUAUGGUUCACUCUCUCCCCCAAAAUAGAUUAAGAUGGAGUGAAAUCGUCUGGGUUCCAGUCCUAGCACCUUCAUUUAUUAGCUGGAAACAAUUGAGUAAUUACCCAGCCUCCCUAGGCCUCAGUUUUCUUACGUAAAAUGGGAUUAAUUAAAGCUUCCGCCUCAUAGGAUCCUUGGGCACAUUAAUGAGAUAAUUUAUGCUAAUGCAUUUAGUGCUAGCACAGUGACUGGCACAUGGUGAGUACUCAAUAAAUCUUAGCUAUUUUUUUAAUCAACAUGACAGUAAUUUUUUAGGAGUAAGGGAUUAUCUGGUUGCUCUGAAGUUUACACAGACAUAAAUAUGUCCAUGUUGAUUGUGUGGAACCUGAUGAAGAAGGAGUAAAUACAUUCAGGAUGUUUCUAACAAUUAUGGCUUAUUGGUGGCCUUUAUAACAGUAACGUAAAGUACUGCUUAUAAUAAUGAAGAUUCCCAUGAACAAAUCAUAUUUGUAAUAAUGAGUAUAAUUGUAGUGGAUUAAUAGCAUAAUUAGAGUUGUGAUGACUAUUUAAAAAGUGAGUUAGAAAAUAAUAACAUUAUGUGUGUGUUAAUAUAGAUUGUUUAUGCCAAUAUGGAAUUGUGAAUGUGUGAAAAUUAUGAGAUAGCAAUCAAGAAACUUAUGUAGCCUGAAAAAGAGAACAGCAUGUAGGGAAAGAAUCCCUCGACCAGAGAAAUGGACAUGGCUGAGAACAAAACGAUGUCUUCCUAAAGUAAAUACCUUGGAAUCACGUGAUAAUAAGUCAAAAGAGGGCAGGACAUCCCACUAGGAGUCAUUAGUCUGGUGGUAUUCCAUAUCACUCAGAGUAGUGGACUAUUAACAUUUGACAAAGAAUCUAUUGAAGCAACAUAGAGAUAAUUAGCAUGCAAGGCACAGGGAACACUGUUGUUAUGCCACUGGGUUUUAUAUAAACUGAAACCACAAAAUACAACUCUACUGUGACCUUUGUUUUGGAACUGUGACUGAAGUACUCUUCAUGCUUCCUCUCCUCUGUGAGAUCCUGUUAGAUUACAUUGCAAUUAUGAUUAUAUCUAAUUAUAUUACACUAAUUAUGAACUGAUCAUAUAUGAAGGAAAAUAAAGUCACAGGGAAUGAGUGACUUUUAUAGGGAUGAAAUUUUGAAUUUAAUAAAGGUUGAAAGGGCAGAAAGUCUGAAUUUUAUCAUCACAAAUAACUUGUUCUAAACCGUUUUCCCUGAAAAAAUUUUACUUUGUUACAAAAUGUGUCAUUUAUUUUGUUUGGCCACUAUUACAUUGAAACUAACCUUUUAAAUUCAAUUAAUUAGUGAAAAUUGAUGGGAGACCUCCUAAGUGCAAUGAAUAGGUACCGAAUGAUGGGAUGAAUCAAACACAGAUCUUGCUCUCCAAAAGCUUAUGGUCAAGAAGGAAGGUUAAGAGUCUAAGAUUAGGCAGGAAGAGAUCAGGCUAUAAGAGACGUAGUGUGAAGUCCAUUAUGCUGUAAACAGACAAAAUUACGUCUAAGUGCUAGCUCCUCUGACAAGGUUCAGGUUAAUGAUCUCUGGGCUAUUUACAGAGAUAAUGUAAACUCACACACUUAAGCUCUUCUUACUGUUAUGCUGUGGCAAUCACCCAUCCACCCAUCCAUAUAUCAAACACUUAUAGAAUGUCAACUCUGCCAGGCACUGAGCCUGUAAAAAUGAAUUAACCUUUUAUGGAGUUCACAUUAGUAAGGGAGAUACCCUAUCUUGCUGUAGUUUAUUUACUUGUCUCAGUGCUAGGAUUGAAAUACGUACCAGGUAUAUUGAGGUCAAUGGGAUAAAAGUUUAGGGUAUUUGCAUAAUAAUUAUUGUUAAGGUUGGCUUAAAAAUUACCAAUUUAGAAAUGCAGAAUUUUAGAUCUUAAGGAUCAUGAAAUUGACCUCUUCCAUUUUACACAUGGAUAAAGGUUCAGAGAAGAUAAAUGAUUUGCUCAAGGUCACACGGCUUACUGGCAACUGAACUGAGAGUUGAUCCACCCCUGGUUCUUUCAGCUUUACUCUGUUCCUUUUCCCAUCAAGCCCACUGCCUCAGGAGGGUGAAUAGUUAAUAGAAAUGUUUUGUGUAGUGCCUGAGCCAAAGAAAACAUGCCCAAAUUGCUGAUUAAAAGGGAAAUAAAUUAGUGAUAUGGGCAGCUUAAUGGCAGGUACCAGAUUAGAAGUAGAUUUACUCUGCAAGGACCAACAAAGAAAUUAAUGCAGCUUUAUGAAGAUAUCACCUUACAAAUUAGGGAGUUGUCGAUAUUCCACGACUCUGAUAUGAAUGCAAAGAGACAUUUUAUAGAACAUUAAACAUGAAAAAGCUUAUAAAAGUCAAAAGGAAAAUAUCCGUUCCAAUCUUGAAUUCCUUGUGAUAAGGCUGAAGUAGGGUUUCAAUAAAUUAAGGCUCCUCUAUGGCCUUUUUUUUUUUUUUCCAAACAGGAAUGUAUAGGCCAAUGUUCAACAGCUACUACUGAAAUAACAUUUGGACUCUAGGGUAGUCUGCUGUAAUAGAACAUUCUAGAAGCAUGACAUCUACUCUACCAUUGACUAGCUAUUGAUUUAGGAAAAGUUACUUAACCUUUCUGAGCCUCAGUUUCCUCACUGAUACUAUGAAAUAUGGAAUAUGAAAACCACUUAGGAUUCUUUCCAGCUUUAAAACUUGAUGCUGUUACAAUAGAUAAUACUUGCCUGUUUAGAAAGUACACCUACAAAUGGUUAGCUGAACUUUGUGUUCUGCUUAAUCUGCACUGGUAAAUAAAGUUGCUGAUAACUAGGAAUAGAAAGAAAAAUGAUAGCUCACUCAUUUUAAUGAGCAUGCUGAAAGCAUAUGCAAUGGCUUAAUAUUAAACUAUUCUACUAGUGGAGAAAUUGGAAAUAUCACAAUAAAAAUUUUCAAUUUUCCAUUUCAGUAACUUUAUUGAAUUGCCAGGGCAUAUAACAACAGCCAAAGUUGAUACAUUAAAUGUGGAUGUUUAAGAACAAAGUUAAUACGUGACAUUAUUGUUUCUCAUUUUAGUCUCUUUCUGCCAGUGCUCUCCAAAGUUAAAUAAAUCUUCUUCCUUACUUAUUACCAAAAAAUGUCUUAACUAUUUCUGAUAGUUUGAAUAUUUUUUCACCUAAUUCUUUACUCUUAUGUAAAGGUAGUAAAUCACUAUACGUUUCUAUUUCUUCACUUCCAAGCGUAAUACAAUGUCAAUAUUCCCUUGGUUUCCCCUGAGUCUGUCUUCUGGUUUCUAUUUUCAGUUUAUGAUCCUUGUGUCUAUAUUUGGUAAAAGUCUGCUUAUAUGCUCAAAUAUGAUGUAAGGCAAUCUUUUAACAAAAUGUUUCUGAGUGGAACCUAAAGCAAUCUGAAUUAUUAUAAUUUUAGAUCUAUGCUUCCCAAGAAGGCAAUAUAAUGCUUUUUUAAAGGACAGAGUUGCUAUUUGGUUUCAAAUAUGUUACAUUUUAUGUAUUUAUUCUAUAUUUAAUAAUAUUCUCAUCCUUUUCUUUGAUGCUAAUGUUACUGUAGAAACUGCCUGCCUCCUGACCCAGAUUCUGUCUUUGUGUUUCCCUACCAGGACAGAUGAAAUUUCUUCUCCUGGGCUCUAGUCCCUGUUUUCCGCACCAGCUGUGGACCUUCAUCCUGGCCACUAAGGGACUUGGCUUUGAUCAUAUUCCAAAGAUCUGGCAAUUAAUUAGCAUGAGUGAUAUUGUUAAGAAGUUACACAAAGAACUCAUAGUCAUUCUGUUGUAACCCGUGUUCCUUCACCUUAAAAAAAUUCUGAGUAGAUGAGUAUGAUUCAGGAGAAGACAUCAUCAAUUAAUUCUAAAGAGGAUCACUGAUGACCUGAACUUUUUCUAGUAUUUGGGGAAGGGUCAAGGAUAUUGGCAACAUUCUUCAAAGAAACAGUGGUUUCUAGUGCGCCUCAGUGGUAGUUGGACUAGAGAUGGUUUUGCUAUCAUUGAAUUCCAUGGGGAGUGGGAGGGCUCUGAUUAACUUGACUCCUGAUUUAACAAAGGAAAGCUCCUCACUUCUAGAGUGGAAGAAACCCUCCUGGGAAGUAGAAGAUGUAAUUAAAUUGCCUGGAAAUUGGAUUUUACGUAAGCAGUUUACAGAUGCAUUAUACAUACCCUAUACAGGAGAAGUGGACAGAAGUGGCUGUGGUCCUGUUGCAGCUGGAGCUGCUAAAGAACAAAGAAGUGGAUGAUUUGCCACGUCACAAAUGGAUUGGGUUGAGAUGAAGAUUUCUGGUCUCCUAGCCCAGGGCUCUAUCCACCAGACAUGGAUUCUCAGUCUUGCUUUCCCACUGGCAUCACUCCUGAUGUAUGAGACACACUUCUAUGGAUAACCAUGGAUCACAACACCAGUGAUUUUCAUGGGACACAUCAUGGGAUGUGUAUAUGUCUGUGUGUGUGUGUGUUGUGAUGAGAUUCCAAAGGAGAUGUAUUCAAAUUUUGGUGGAGCUCCUGAGUAUAGUUUUAAUAUGCUCCAAGAAGUUGCCAACUCUUUGAAAAUGGUGGGAAAGUUUCACUGGUUAACAGAUGACUCUCCAGGGAGACAGGUGAAUCCUGCUAUAACUGUCUCAAUAGAGACAGAUACAAGUGUAUUAAAGGAGACUCACCUUGGACGUGAUUAAUUUCUACAAGGAUAUCCUUUAGUGCAGAGGAGAGUAAAAUACCUCUCUUCUUGCCUGGCAGCACUUCUGGUUUCCACCUAUCAUAAGCGCAGGUUUAAACAGAUGGAAGCUUUGAAUUUUACACCUGUUCUUUUCCUUCCUGUCAUUCAUCACAUGCAUUCUAAUUGCGCUUUAUGUAUAGUUGGAGGGCCUCUCUGCUAGACUGUAAACUCCUCGAGGGUAGAGACCGCGCCGGUUUUGUUUUUUAUUACGUGUUCAGCACGAAGCAUGACGUAUGGUAUGCACUCAAUAAAUAUUUCUUAAAUCAAUAAAUUCUAUAUCAGAGAAAAAAUAGCAUUUAAUUUAAGUUCGACUUUUUAGGCUUGCUUUGUGAAAAGCAAGAGGGGAAGAACUUACAAAGUAAAGUGUGUGUUCCUAAGCUGUGACCUACAGACUUUUUCAGUGUGUACAAAAUGACUAACGUUUAGUGAGUGUAUAUUAUGUGCCACACAUGUAUAUAUAUAUAUAUAUAUAUAUAUAUAUGUAUAAUACACCCACACACACGAACUCAUCCAGUUCUCACCUAAUUUCAUGAAAGAUAAAACAAAGGCAGAGAGAGAUUAAAUAACUUAUCAAAUAUUAAGUAAUAGGUGAUCUGAAUUUAUUACUGACCAGAGCUAAAACUUAGGAAGCCUGACUCCAGUUUUUAACUGCUAUGGAGAGCUGCCCUUUUUACAUACUUUGCAGCUGACUUCAUGAGUGAGCCCAGCAGUCUGACUCUGAGCCAUGCACCAGAUUCCUUAUGAGGCCAACGAUUAAAAUGGAUGGGUCAAGAGCUACCCUCUUCUAUCCCUGAAGGAUUCUGUAAAUAUGUUUAUAUAUAAUCCAAUUUUUAUUCUCUCAUUAGUAAGAAGUAUAUUUUUGGCCCAAAUAAAAUUUGUCUUGGCGCUCGUAUCGUCCAUAUCAGUCUUUUAGGAGAUGAAUGUUUAUGCCACUAUGUAAAGCAUCCAAAGGCAUAGACUUGAUGACAGUUGCAGAAAAAGGGAAGGUUGGAACAUUCAAAAACAGGAAAGAAAAUGAAGCUGCUUAGAUGGGAUUAUUAUGAAGGACCAUGUGAUUAGGACUCCAAACCUGAACUAUAUUAAAUCUAAAUACAAAAUUUUGGUGGAGAGAUCAAAUAAUAGGUUAGUUAGAUGUGACCCCAGGUGGUCACUCCUGCUCAGGUCUUCUCUGGGCUCCAAGGAGCUAGGAUCUCAGUUUUCUAUGGAGCUGACGACACAGCCUGGCGUUGGAAUCACAGGUCCGCCAGUGACGCUGUGGCUGAUGCUGCCCUACGUCCUCAGGACCCAUGCAGCAAAUCCUGAACUGGCCUCAUCCAGCAGUCAUAAAGAGCUCAGGCACCACAGCUAUGCACUAAGCGAUGGACAGAUACUUAAAAAAAUUCUAGCUUUCGUAGGCUACAGCAGAGCUUUUAGAGAUGGAAUUGGAUGCGUCAAUACAAGGGACGAUUCUCUGUGAUAAGUUUUAUUCAAUUGCUGACAGGUUCAUCAACUCCUUGCAUCUUGGGGAUAUGGUACAUUUUGGGGGGAAAUUAACUAUGAAGCAAUAAGAACAACUAUACAGCAUAUUAAAUUUUGGUUAUUAAUUGCUGUAAUAACAACAUAAAUGGGCUAUUCUACUUGAUAUAUUGGCAAAAGGGUCUUAACCAGGGCAAAGUGCAGGCAAGGCAAAAAACGAGUACAAUAUAUUAGGAUCAGUAUAACCUGAAACCCCAUAGAAAACACUGAAAUUUUGGUUACUAGUAUUUAAAUAUACAUUCUGGAUAUUACAGAUAUAUAAUUAGGUUAAAGCACUCCAUGAUACUUUACUUUUGACGGAUUAAAUAUUCCUUAAAAUGGUGGCAUAAAGAACAAAAUGAAAAUCAGUCAACCAAAACUUCCCCCAAAUCUUCAAAAAUCUGUUAAAUCUCAUCUAGCACUAAUUACUAUAAACUUAUAAAUAAUGAAGAGAAAAAAAUUUUCAAUACACUAAUAAAUUUGGUGAAUCCACUCUUCACUUAAUUGAUUUUUCAGCAAAAUGAUUUUUGAAGAUGAACCCAGUUCCCAAAAGGCCUCCUUUUCCCAGUUGCCAUAUGAAACAUGUCGUGUAUCAUCUCAGAUGGGCAUUGACUGGGAACUACUGAAAUUGUCUGGUGUCACCAACCCCAGGAGAGGCCUACGUAGCUUUCCUUUCAGCCAUGCUGAUGGUCUGCUUUAACUAUUUCUUAUCAAAUUCUCAACCAAUUGUAUUUGGCUUCCAAAAUUCCACUCAACUCUACUAUUCUUAAGAUUAUUGAUGAUUUCUUAAUUUUCAAACUCUGUGAUCUUUUGUUGGUCAACUUCUCUACAGGUGUCUCUGCAGCAUCCAAAUUUUCUUUUUUCUUCCUUUAACAUUGUUCUCGCACAGUUCUCUCACCUUCAGUCUGAUUGUCCCUUUUCAGUCCCUUUUGUUGGACUUUCUUCCACAGUCCUCCUCUUAAUGGAGAGUUCUAGACAAAUGUGAGUGGAAUUAUUGUCAUUGGUUUAUUGCUGCUUAAAUUCAAACAGAGGACUGGAGGUUUGUUUUCAAAUCAAGAAGAGUACACAUACACACACACAGACAAUCAAAUAGAAUGAGCAAGUCACUCAGAAUUCUACAUAGAACUCUCUUCCUGGCCCCUAGUUACUUUGGCAGCAGUAGAAAAGUAAGCUGGAGUAACUACGCAAUAGCCUCAGAGACACCAUGGGCCCUGGGAUCAGAAAGAAGUUACGGGAUUCUAAGCCUGAUCCUAGGAGGAUAAGCUUAUCUGGAGGUGGUCAAUGAGGACAGGGAUGUGAGAGGGCAAGCUGUCAGAUUCCUGGAUUCUGGAGUGUUAUGAGAUGAAGUGUGUCUCCCCCCAAAUUUUUAUGUUGAAGUCCCAACCCCUAGAUCCCCAGAACGUAACUGUAUUUGGAGAUGUGGUCUCUGAAGAGGUGACUGAGUUAAAAAGAGGCCUGUAGGGUGAGGCCUUAAUCCUAUAGGAUUGCUGUCCUUCUAAGAAGAGGGGGAGGCACUCGGAGUGUGUGCACAGGGACAACCAUGUGAAGGGGCAGCAAGAGGGUGGCCAUCUGCAAGCCAAAGAGAGAGGCCCCAGGAGAAACCAAAUCUGCCAACACCUUGAUCUUGGACUUGUAGCCUCCAGAACUAUGAAAAAAUAAAUUUCUGUUGUGUAAGCCACCUUGUGGCAUUUCGUUACAGCAGCCUUUGCAAACUAGUUAAUCCAUGGAAGAAGCUAAAUUCCUGGAUAAGCAGUUUGGCACCUCUCCACUGAGGGGCUUAUUGGUAAAGCCAUAAGGUGCUCCUGCUUGGAGUUAGAAAAACUUUCCUCAUGAAUAUUUCCCCCCAAUCAAGAGGUGGGACAUUUCUACUAUUUCCAGAAGAGGAGUGAGGUAAUCCCCCUCAAUAUGGUAUUUGCUUCUUUACUUAGAGCCACUAGCUAUGUAUAACCUUCACAUAAAGAGAAUUCUUUGUGACAAUGAUCUAGCAAACUUCAAAAUUUAUCUCAGCAAAGAGCUAAAAAGCAAAACAAAAUGAAACAAAACAAAAAUGUCCAGUGUUUGCAGAGCUCACAUCCCUUAGUCUAGAAAAAAAUCUAUGCAAUUCAGACAAGUUUUCUGCAUCAGGAUUUGUGCUAGCUUCAACAGAAGAUAUACUAAAAUUGGAAUAGGGUUUUAAAUUGGUUUCAUGACAAAGGCUAUAAAUUAUACUAGGUGACUCAAAUUAUUCAUGAGAGAGAGGAGAUCUUGAUUUAUGCACUAGUUUUGUGUAAAUUUCAUUUUUGUAAAGUAAAUCACUUUUCCCAUUGACUCACAUUACGGUUUGAGAUACGCUUUAUCUUCUUUUCUGAGUAGUCUUCAGUUGACAGAGGCUUUUUGCACAUCCAUGCAAGCAUUUAAUGACCUAAAUGAAAGCACUUAAAUGAAGCAUAGCUAUUUACAGAAACUGCAAGAGAACCAUAUAUUCAUCCAGCACACACAACAAACACUUAACAAAGGCCAACUAUGUAGUAGGGACUAUAGAUUCAAAGACAUGGACCGGCCCGCUGGCUUCAAGAUGCUUACUGUCUUUGUAGUUUGAAGAAUUCUUUUGAGAAGUAAAUAAUCAGCCCCUGCAUGUGAAUGCCCUGUUAUAUGCAUACUUGGAUGUUCUUAAAAAUUGAUUAUAUAACACUAUGAAGAAUUUUAUCAUUGUUUGCUCAAAUCUGGUCCAAUAUAUGUCAAUAAGAUUGAUGUCAUGUGUAUCACCAGCAUUUCCAUGACCAUUUCGUUGUCUUGGGAGGUCAGGGAUUCUUCACCUGGAAUCCAUCAUGCUUUAAAAGGUUUAUGGAGGGGCUGGCCCCGUGGCCGAGUGGUUAAGUUCACGCGCUCCACUGCAGGCGGCCCAGUAUUUCGUUGGUUCGAAUCCUGGGUGUGGACAUGGCACUGCUCAUCAAACCACGCUGAGGCAGC